CAUAGGCGUACUGCUCAGUAACACGUGGACAACCUACCCUCAGGUCGGGGAUAAACCCGGGAAACUGGGUAUAAUACCCGAUAGAUCUCGGCUGCUGGAAUGCAUCGAGCUCUAAAGCUCCGGCGCCUGAGGAUGGGUCUGCGGCCUAUCAGGUAGUAGUGGGUGUAGCGUACCUACUAGCCUACGACGGGUACGGGUUGUGAGAGCAAGAGCCCGGAGAUGGAUUCUGAGACACGAAUCCAGGCCCUACGGGGUGCAGCAGGCGCGAAAACUUUACAAUGCCGGCAACGGCGAUAAGGGGACCUCGAGUGCCAGGUUACAAAUCUGGCUGUCGUGAUGCCUAAAAAGCAUUGCAUAGCAAGGGCCGGGCAAGACCGGUGCCAGCCGCCGCGGUAACACCGGCGGCUCGAGUGGUAACCGUUAUUAUUGGGUCUAAAGGGUCUGUAGCCGGCCGGAUAAGUCUCUUGGGAAAUCCAGCAGCUCAACUGUUGGGCUUUCAGGAGAUACUGUCUGGCUCGAGGCCGGGAGAGGUGAGAGGUACUUCAGGGGUAGGGGUGAAAUCUUGUAAUCCUUGAAGGACCACCAGUGGCGAAGGCGUCUCACCAGAACGGACCUGACGGCAAGGGACGAAAGCUAGGGGCACGAACCGGAUUAGAUACCCGGGUAGUCCUAGCCGUAAACGAUACUCGCUAGGUGUCGGCCACGGUGCGACCGUUGUCGGUGCCGUAGGGAAGCCGUGAAGCGAGCCACCUGGGAAGUACGGCCGCAAGGCUGAAACUUAAAGGAAUUGGCGGGGGAGCACCACAACGGGUGGAGCUUGCGGUUUAAUUGGAUUCAACGCCGGG
rnacentral:rRNA from 1 species